UACGGGGGGGGCGAGCGUUGUUCGGAAUCACUGGGCGUAAAGGGCGCGUAGGCGGCCCGCACAAGUCUGCGGUGAAAACCCCCGGCUUAACCGGGGGCCCGGCCGUGGAAACUGUCGGGCUGGAGGCUGGGAGAGGGCAGCGGAAUUCCCGGUGUAGCGGUGAAAUGCGUAGAGAUCGGGAGGAACACCGGCGGCGAAGGCGGCUGCCUGGACCAGUCCUGACGCUGAGG
rnacentral:rRNA from 1 species